rnacentral:rRNA from 1 species
GUGGGGAAUAUUGCGCAAUGGGCGAAAGCCUGACGCAGCGACGCCGCGUGAGUGAUGAAGGCCCUCGGGUCGUAAAGCUCUGUUGGAGGGGAAAGAAAACUCCCGCGGAAUAAUACCCGCGGGACCUGACGGUACCCCUUCAGAAAGCACCGGCUAACUCCGUGCCAGCAGCCGCGGUAAUACGGAGGGUGCAAGCGUUGUUCGGAAUCAUUGGUCGUAAGGCGCGUGUAGGCGGGACAGUAUGUCGGGUGUGAAAUCCCUCGGCUUAACCGGGGAAUUGCAUCCGAAACUGCCGUUCUUGAGUACGGGAGAGGGAAGUGGAAUUUCCAGUGUAGAGGUGAAAUUCGUAGAUAUUGGAAGGAACACCGGUGGCGAAGGCGGCUUCCUGGACCGAUACUGACGCUGAGACGCGAAAGCGUGGGGAGCAAACAGGAUUAGAUACCCCAGUAGUCC